ACGAACGUUAGCGGCGCGCCUAAUACAUGCAAGUCGAACGAGAACGCUCCCUUCGGGGAGUUAGUAGAGUGGCGCACGGGUGCGUAACACGUAGGCAAGCUCCCCCCGGGCGGGGGAUAACCAUCCGAAAGGAUGGCUAAUACCGCGUAAGACCACAGUGGCUCCGGCCACAAGGGUAAAAGAUGGCCUCUACUUGUAAGCUAUCGCCUGGGGAUGCGCCUGCGGCCCAUCAGCUUGUUGGCGAGGUAACGGCUCACCAAGGCUAAGACGGGUAGCUGGUCUGAGAGGAUGAUCAGCCACACUGGCACUGGAACACGGGCCAGACUCCUACGGGAGGCAGCAGUAGGGAAUCUUGGACAAUGGGCGAAAGCCUGAUCCAGCGACGCCGCGUGGGUGAUGAAGGCCUUCGGGUCGUAAAGCCCUGUUGGAGGGGAAAGAAAAAAGGCCGUUCGAAUAGGGCGGUCUCUUGACGGUACUCCUUCAGAAAGCACCGGCUAACUCUGUGCCAGCAGCCGCGGUAAG
rnacentral:rRNA from 1 species